AGUGAACGCUGGCGGUAGGCCUAACACAUGCAAGUCGAACGGCAGCACAGUAAGAGCUUGCUCUUACGGGUGGCGAGUGGCGGACGGGUGAGGAAUACAUCGGAAUCUACUUUUUCGUGGGGGAUAACGUAGGGAAACUUACGCUAAUACCGCAUACGACCUACGGGUGAAAGCAGGGGAUCUUCGGACCUUGCGCGAUUGAAUGAGCCGAUGUCGGAUUAGCUAGUUGGCGGGGUAAAGGCCCACCAAGGCGACGAUCCGUAGCUGGUCUGAGAGGAUGAUCAGCCACACGGGAACUGAGACACGGUCCAGACUCCUACGGGAGGCAGCAGUGGGGAAUAUUGGACAAGGGGCGAAAGCCUGAUCCAGCCAUACCGCGUGGGUGAAGAAGGCCUUCGGGUGGUAAAGCCCUUUUGUUGGGAAAGAAAAGCAGCAGGUUAAUACCCCGCUGUUCGGACGGGACCCAAAGAAUAAGCACCGGCUAACUUCGG
rnacentral:rRNA from 1 species